CGGCUCUGCGCGUCUACCAACCAGCAGCCAGUUUACGGCUGUGUGCAUAUUGUUAAAGGAGAGAAAAAUGGCAUUAGCAACAGAAAAGAAAGCCGAAAUCGUCGCUGAAUUCGGUCGUGCUCCU
rfam:Nitrincola lacisaponensis strain 4CA MTCC16316_S1_L001_R1_001_(paired)_contig_11, whole genome shotgun sequence.